rnacentral:lncRNA from 1 species
AUGGGGUGGAGCCACGGAAGUUCGCGCCAUUUGCAGAGGGGAGGAGCCCAGCCUCUUGCGUUCCUGUGUGAUGGGGCCGGAGCCAGUAAACAGGCUUCCUUCUCGCUCUGCUGUAUAAGAAGAAGAAGUAGGAGAAACAAAAUAAGGAGGAGAAGAAGUAAAAUAAUUUGAGAAGGAAUAUGAAGGGGCUGAAAUCCUGGGCUUUCUGGGCAGAAGGAUCUACGAGCGGGAUCGUGGGUGAAACAUGAAGAUGAUGGUGGACAGGUGAGCUACGCAGUUCGUGGAAGAACCAGGGGUCACAUGGCCUAGAUGCUACCCUAGAUGAGAAAGAGUCCAAUGGUUAUCAACAAGUUCUGAAAGGCAAGGCCUAAGGUACUGAAAAUUAUAUUACUCAAAGCUGAAGGCAGCAAAUCUGUUCAUGUUUACACAGUUGGGAAAGUGGACUUGUGUUUUUUACAAGCAAACCAGUGACCAGCCAAUGGCAGGAGACCUUCCCCACCCCUAAAGGUGAUGCUCACCUACCGUCAUGGGUAAAAGGAAGCUCUGGCUCGAAUUCCUCAUGUAUUAUUCAUGUGUGAUGCCACCCAACGUGAUUCAGAGAAGAAAAUUCUCAGUGUGUUCACCAGAGGUGAUUACAUGAGAAUAAAGCACGGCCUGAUUUUUUUUCUUGUUCACAGGAAAAAAAAAA